CCCUACGGGGUGCGCAAGGUCUGGCACCCGUCCCAGGAGAGCCACGACCUGCCAGGUGGCGGCAUCGAGGUGCGCUUCCCGACGACGGGGCUUGUGGCCCUCAAGCACUGGCUCUUCCGGUGGAUCCCUCACGUGCGGGUCCUUGAGCCCGAGGAACUGAGGGAGGAGAUGCUCGGGGUGUUGAAAAUCCAGGUGGCACAUUUGGAGAAAAAGGCGGCGGGAAGGAAACGCGCGAAUCGAGCCGGUGAGCCCCAAUGAACCAAAGGGUUCCCGAUUGUGGCACACGGUUGCAGGCGGCUCCCAUGUGCCGAAAACAAGGGGAAGCAACCAUGAACAGCCAACGCGAUCCUGCUCGGAAAAAAGGCGACGCACUUGUGGGGCGUUAUCGGGGGAGC
rnacentral:rRNA from 1 species